CAGGGCCUCUGUUUAAGGAGCCACGGUCACAACAGGCCAGUGUGCUGCCUGCUGCACAGAGGACUCUUGUGUCCCACUGACACCAUUACCAUACAGGGCAGCGGGUCACCGCGCCGAGCACGGUGAACCGCUGGGGGAGUCCUGCCUGCCACUGGUGCCAACACAACACACCGUGUAUCCAGCGGAGUGAAGUUGAUGGUGGCAGUGUUGACAAUGGGGACGGCGGUGGACGGCUGCGGCGACGCUGACGGCUUACUCCCCUGGGGUUCUUUCACAUGGCCGGACAGGAAAAGAGGUGGACUGACUGCUCACCGGCUGGUGCACCCCCCCUUGCCUAUGACAUCAGGAUGUCUCCGAGGGCAGCAGAUAAACCCGGGCUUGAACCAGUGAUGCCCCCCCGGGUGGAGGCACGCAGUGCACCACCGAAACUGAAAAGACCACAUUCACUCAGGUACAGCUCUCCUGUCCCCUCUUUCAAACAUACAUGUCACCGCACGUCUUCUGCUCCCCACCCAUAUCCAUCUCGCCUUUUACACACUGUGAACAGGGCAAUAGCUGUUCAACAUCCGAGGCUGCGACCCCGGCGUUGCUGGGGGAGUCUGAUCGGAGCGGUACCGGCUACAUCUAUACAUCUCUGCCUCCCCGCCAGGCCAGGAAGAGUCACAGACCAUUUCACUCGGGUAUUAAUGACCAACAACAGCCCAACUGCCUCUAAAACUAGAGUAUAUGAAACCCAUGAAAGCAUAUACACACACACACACACACACACACAGAGAGAGAGAGAGAGAGAGGCUGGGAGGAGGAAGGGGGUGUGGAGGGCAAGAUGCCAAGGCAAAGAGAAAUGAGGUGUGGGAAAGGCGAGGUAGAGGGAAAAAAACAAAGAGUCAAAAACAGAAAGUAGAUAAAGAUUGAGCGAUUCGAAAGGGCAUGUACUGUACAGGAUCACGAGCCGGAGAAAUAAACAACUGUCAAGGACUACACUCGCCAGCGACCUGGGGGUGCCAGUGGAAAUAUGAGGGGAAAACAAAGAUGGUGCAGCAUCAUUUAUGCAAACUCAGUUUACCGGCCUUCAGCAAAUGGAUGAUACAGAGGUCACCGGGUCUGUCAAGGGCAAGAAAAGAGAAGUUAGGUCCUCUAUUUGUUGAGAUUGGAGAAUGAAAUGAAGGCCUAUUUACGUAUCUACUAAGCUUUGAACGACAUUCUGGCAUCAUCUUUUUAUGUCGAUUUAUUGUUAUUUAAUUAACAGUUUACAGUUCAAUUCGGGUUUUUUGCUUGUUUAAACGAUGCUGACCAUAAAAAAUUCUCCCAAAAUUUCUGUGCGAAAUAAAACAGCAGUAUUUCAUAACUCAGUCAUGUUGCAGUUUGUCUUUCUUCAGAGGACUUGAUUAUAUGUUUCACAGUGGAGAUGGCUAGGUUAACGCAAAGUGCAUCCUGAACAAUGCAUUAUUAAUAUUUUAUUUUAUGAGCGGGGAAAAGAUUGUAGCAGAUUAGUAUCUUAUCGGUAUCGGUACUCAAGGUUGCAGGAUCCGUAUCGGAUCGAACACGAGAAAAAUUGGUAAUGUCCCGUCCCUAGAUCUUACAAACCACAGCGAAUAAGUGAUCAAUUAAACCACAGAUUAGUUUGAUAAAAUAAUAAUUUGUUACAGCCCUAUACUAACUGAUUUCCCCCCCCCAAAGUAGCGGUGUAAAAAAAAAAAAGCUUAAGGAGAGCUUGCUCAGGAUACUGCAGAUACAGACAGGAUGUGCAGUAUAUAUUAGAGGACAGACCUAUCAAUCAGCUACACGACAUAUGUCGGAGUGGCGUGCAGACAUCAGUGACAGUGCCGAUCAGUCAGCGUGAGCACGUGCAAAGUGUCGAGCUCCCGGCUCACAUCUUUCAGACGUCUCUCCUUGAUGUCCGGCCGAGAGGUCAGGAUCAGAGAGAGAGAUGAAGGCACCGUUUAAUCAGUGCCUCGCUGCUGGAGCGCCGGCCUCUGACCUCUGACCCCGACCGCAUGACCCUGCCCUCCAGCCGUUCUGCCGCUCACGGGCAGACUCAAAGGGGCUGCCGGUAUUGUCGUCGGGGGGGGCAUCGCCAAAAGAGCUGAGGGGUCGACGGGAGCUGGAGGACACAUCAGAGGCGUGACGGCCCCCUGCCGGGCCGAGCUCGUCCCCUCAGGUGCAGCGCAGGCGGGACCCUGCCCCCAUAUCCACAUCUUCACCACAUGGAUGUGAGGAGAUUCAACACAAUCGUGGCUUUACAUUAUUCAUGACACUCUUCCAUAUUUUGGAUAUAUCUUAAUAUAUAUGAUAUGUUUUUGUUUGUGAGUUUGUCUUGAUGCUCACUAUACAGUAG
ensembl:lncRNA